UCCAAGCCACAAUCAAACCACCCACCCACCUGUUCGUACCGCCCUGUAAAUCGACGACCAUCACCGGAUUGAGGAUCCAGCAGGAGAGGGCACGGAUCGUAAUAAAAACGAGGAUGUUGAUGGAAAAAGUGCCUCCUAUUCGUGACAGGAUUUAUCGUUGGUUCAGUUUCGUCGAGCGGUCCGUGGCAAACAGACGUGGUUUAGCCUUCGUGGAGUUCGGAUGCGUUUUUGGGGAUUACUAAAAUCCGUUGAGAAGUAGGUAAAGCCCUAGCAACAAACCCUUUGUCACCAUGGGGCAUAGUGGAUGCAGGUCGGUCUAAUUGAAGGAGGAUAGCUCUAUGUGUUUGGGCUCAAAAGGAUAACCCAAGUUGCAACUGAGAGUAGAGGCGGUAUUCGAAUGCAAAGCUCGCCUCCCAUAGUCCCCGGUGGUGGCGGUGGUGGUCUACAGACUGCAGGAGUUCGCUCUUCUACGGGCUGUGAAGGAGCUGACGAAGAAUAAACUAUCAAGCUUUCGUGCGCCUGCAGAUGACAUACGAUAGUGCAUAGUGAGCUGGAGAGAAUAAUACAUGUGACAUGUGUAUGGUGAAGAAUGGAAACAAUUGCCCGUGAGCGAGUUUGUUUUUUAUGAUUUAUGACCACUGGCUCAGGGGGCUGCUGGUGUCGUCGUCAAAUAGAAUAGUGUGGCUUGGACGUGAAUAGUUGCUAUGGCUAUGGCCUGCACGCUGUGAGUUGGCAACCGUUGCGUUGAUGCUGUUCGGCGCUGUCUGGACCACAGGUUUUGGAACGACCACUGGUGAUUUGUACGUUGAAAAGGUGAAUGGAUAAACGGUUGAGCCUGCCGGUGUGUGCGGGGAGAUUUUAAAGUAGAAAAGUGUUUUGUACUAUUGUUGGCGGUGCGCUUGUGAAUACAAUCAAUCAGCGAUACGGAUCGUUCAGUUUUUGGUGGUCAACAGGAUGCUGUGAUUUCAUGAGGAUGUUCGUGUUUCCUGGCGGUGGUGACAAAUGGUGACAGUGCAGCAGAUAUGCUAAAGAAUUGUUAUCAAUUCAGAGAACUCCCCCUAAUCAACAAGAGGAAGUGAGUUUGUACUAAUAUCAAAGCGAUCACCCGUCAGUCGGCUUUCUUAAAGCUGUAUUUUCCCGCCGGAAAGGCGGGCGUGAAUAUCGUAACGUGGCGACUCUCGCCGCCGUGGUGGACGAGGAAGCUUCCUGAUUAAUAAUGAACCGCUGUUGGUAAACUUGACUUUGGUUGGUGCUGGUGUACAACGGAACUGCUUCAACUGCCGGAACAGUGCGGCGUGAAUGCUGAGUGGUUCGAGGCGGAAAAGUUUAUGCGAGGUUCCAGUGGUUGAGGGGGG